CAACACGCGACCUUCGGCCACACCCUUCGCAAAAAAAAUAGAGUAACUUCGGCAGGUAAACAGUCAGGACAAGGCGUCCUACAACCAAGUUCGCAAAGGCGAAACGGCACACGUCCUGGUCCACCACGCCUACUACACCGAGAACAAGUACUGACAAUUUCGCGAAGACGAGCAAGAAAAUCAGCUGCGUCAGUCAAAUGCUCCAUAACCAACGAAGGAAACACUACUAGAAUUCUAGAUGCAAAGGCUGCAUAUUUAAAGCAAACGAAAGUAAAAGCGCAACCCGACCCUAUUGACCUUUACGCGCAGGAAGAAAACACUCUCUUUCUCACCACCAUACUACACCUUCGCACAGGAGUCACUAACACCUCUCUUAUCAGUUUCAUUUGAGGCUAAAUUUUUCGAUAAAAUAAAUUUAUUAAUAAAAAUCCAAAUGCUGGCGGAGGCGGUAAUUCACUUGCUUCAGGCGGCGUAGUAAAACCGGCAAAAAAUUUAUUCCCGUUUUCCAGGCAAGAGUUGGAGCGUGAGGGUCAUGAAUAAGGACUAACGUACCCACUUGUAGUGGUGGCGGAUCCUUUGUCCAUUUUUGGCGGGGCUGGAGACUGUGGACGUAUUCCAGCUGCCAUCGUCGCCAAAUCUGUUGAAAUAGCGCUGUGACCAAAUACCAACGGCGAACCCCCGGGAUAUCCUUUUCAGGGAUAGAUUCCUCAGGGACGGAUGUCAGAGGGCGACCUAUUAAGAAGUGUCCCGGAGUCAAGGGCUGGAAGUCGUUGGGAUCGCUUGAUAAUGGAGUGAGGGGUCUCGAGUUGAGCAUGGCCUCCACUCUCGUAGCCAGCGUUUCGAAUUCCUCCAGGUAGAGGAUGUGCGUGCCAAUCAUCUUAGUUAGAUGUUUCUUGGCGUUCUUGACCGCACUCUCCCAGAGGCCUCCUUGGUGUGGUGCUGCUGGCGGAUUGAAAUGAAAUUUAAUUUCAUUCGCCUUGGCAUAUUGUUGUAAGUCUGGGUCACUCUCGUCGGCCAGUCGUGAUAAAGCGUUGGAGGCACCCACAAAGUUAGUGUGUAACUCAAAGGCUGAUAGCCGUGGGACCUUUCGGAUUUUGGCUAUGGUUAAUGCUCCUGGUUAACGUGGGUCUAUCGUUUGGCGAUUACCAUACUACGUAUGAUGUCUUGUCGAUACGUUGAAGCAUUUUGCGAAACUGGUUCGAAGCGCUCCUGCAUAUAUUCUACAGGUAGGUUGCGCCUGUCGUUUCGGUUGUUUAUCCAGAUGGGCGGUAUGA
rnacentral:lncRNA from 1 species